AUUGUAUCAGCAGUUCUGUUUGGUGUGACAAAGAUUGUACACUUUUCAAGCCAGUAGCUGAAGUGUCUUGUUGCAGUUGCUCAAAAGUUGCACCCUGUUAAUAGUUUCUUCAGUGCAGAGAUCAUCUACACAAGAAAAAUGUGAAAGAUUGAGGUUGAGCUCAUGGAGAUGACUAGACCAAAGGGAAGGGGGGAAAAAAGUGAGUCUGAAGGAGAGCGAGUUCUGAAAAGGUGCUUUGUCCUGGGCUCCAGGUUGACAGAGGCGCGGGCCAUCAGCAGUUGUGGUUCUAGGCGGACGUCCAGGCCCUCUCUGGCACCGUCUGCAGAGCACACAGCUGGGCUCAACAUCUCAACCCAGCCCAACUCCAACUGCAACCAACCACAAAUGAUGGAAAAACAAACCAGAGCCCUGUGCUGCAGACUCAGCCCCCCUGUGCAAAACAAGUAUACUUAGCAUACUUUAUUACAAAACUAAUAUACUUUACAUUAAAAUAAGUGCAAACUGAGUGUAAUGUUUUCAGACACUUCUUUGCAUGUUAAUUGCAAUUAAAUUAAUAUGUAUUAUAGUUUAAGUGUAUUUUAAAUGCAAUUAGUUGACCUCAAUAGUACUUUUCUGACACAUGUAAGUAGUUCCUAUUAAUCUAUUCAUCUUUAUAUGUAAUUACCUUAAUUACUUCUGUUGUCUUUGAAAUAUAGUUGAAGUGCACUGCCGAAUGUACUGAUAAACAUUCAUGCUAAACUAAAAUACAUUUUACUGAAACCUGUA